rnacentral:tRNA from 1 species
CGGGGUGUGAGCGGAUGUCACCGGACUGUCAGUGCCUGCAAUGCGGAUCACUCGCACCGACGACAGCCUCCGCUGGCGGACCCAGGCCAGAGGGUCGCAGGUUCAAAUCCUGUCAUCCCGA